UACGAAGGGGGGCUAGCGUUGUUCGGAAUUACUGGGCGUAAAGCGCACGUAGGCGGGUUGUUAAGUCAGGGGUGAAAUCCUGGAACUCAACUCCAGAACUGCCUUUGAUACUGGCAACCUAGAGACUGGAAGAGGUUAGUGGAAUUCCCAGUGUAGAGGUGAAAUUCGUAGAUAUUGGGAAGAACACCAGUGGCGAAGGCGGCUAACUGGUCCAGCACUGACGCUGAGGUGCGAAAGCGUGGGGAGCAAACAGG
rnacentral:rRNA from 1 species